rnacentral:rRNA from 1 species
CGUUCAGAUUGAACGCUGGCGGCAGGCCUAACACAUGCAAGUCGAGCGGUAGCACAGAGAGCUUGCUCUCGGGUGACGAGCGGCGGACGGGUGAGUAAUGUCUGGGAAACUGCCUGAUGGAGGGGGAUAACUACUGGAAACGGUAGCUAAUACCGCAUAACGUCGCAAGACCAAAGUGGGGGACCUUCGGGCCUCAUGCCAUCAGAUGUGCCCAGAUGGGAUUAGCUAGUAGGUGGGGUAAUGGCUCACCUAGGCGACGAUCCCUAGCUGGUCUGAGAGGAUGACCAGCCACACUGGAACUGAGACACGGUCCAGACUCCUACGGGAGGCAGCAGUGGGGAAUAUUGCACAAUGGGCGCAAGCCUGAUGCAGCCAUGCCGCGUGUAUGAAGAAGGCCUUCGGGUUGUAAAGUACUUUCAGCGAGGAGGAAGGCAUUAAGGUUAAUAACCUUAGGGAUUGACGUUACUCGCAGAAGAAGCACCGGCUAACUCCGUGCCAGCAGCCGCGGUAAUACGGAGGGUGCAAGCGUUAAUCGGAAUUACUGGGCGUAAAGCGCACGCAGGCGGUUUGUUAAGUCAGAUGUGAAAUCCCCGGGCUCAACCUGGGAACUGCAUUUGAAACUGGCAAGCUUGAGUCUUGUAGAGGGGGGUAGAAUUCCAGGUGUAGCGGUGAAAUGCGUAGAGAUCUGGAGGAAUACCGGUGGCGAAGGCGGCCCCCUGGACAAAGACUGACGCUCAGCUGCAAAAGACGCC